GUAGUGGGACGAUAAGACCCUAUAAAGCUUUACAUUUUUCUUGUUGGAGGCAAAGUUUAAGGUUUUUUAUUCUUAUCAAGUAAGAUGUUUCGUUGGGGCGACGAAAAUAUAAAAUAUUAACUGUUUUUUUUUAAAAAUAGAUUUUUUUAGGUGUGUUGAUCCUUUAUAGAGAUUAUAAGAAUAAAGUUACUUUAGGGAUAACAGCGUAAUUUUUCUUGAGAGUUCAUAUCGACAGAAAUAGUUGCGACCUCGAUGUUGAAUUAAGAUACCUCUAAGGUGUAGCAGUUUUAGUGGUAGGUCUGUUCGACCUUUAAAAUCUUACGUGAUCU
rnacentral:rRNA from 1 species